UACGGAGGGUGCAAGCGUUAUCCGGAUUCACUGGGUUUAAAGGGUGCGUAGGUGGGUUGGUAAGUCAGUGGUGAAAUCUCCAGGCUUAACUUGGAAACUGCCAUUGAUACUAUCAAUCUUGAAUACCGUGGAGGUCAGCGGAAUAUGUCAGUGUAGCGGUGAAAUGCUUAGAUAAUGACAUAGAACACCAAUUGCGAAGGCAGCUGGCUACACGAAUAUUGCACU
rnacentral:rRNA from 1 species